CUCCCGGCGGUGCAGGAUGAGCCCCGCGGCCUAUCAGCUUGUUGGGUGAGGUAAUGGCUCCCCAAGGCGACGACGGGGUAGCCGGCCUGAGAAGGGCGACCGGCCACACUGGGACUGAGGACACGGCCCAGACUCCUACGGGAGGCAGCAGUGGGGAAUAUUGCACAAUGGGCGAAAGCCUGAUGCAGCGACGCCGCGUGAGGGAUGACGGCCUUCGGGUUGUAAACCUCUUUCAGCAGGGAAGAAGCGAAAGUGACGGUACCUGCAGAAGAAGCGCCGGCUAACUACGUGCCAGCAGCCGCGGUAAUACGUAGGGCGCAAGCGUUGUCCGGAAUUAUUGGGCGUAAAGAGCUCGUAGGCGGCUUGUCGCGUCGGUUGUGAAAGCCCGGGGCUUAACCCCGGGUCUGCAGUCGAUACGGGCAGGCUAGAGUUCGGUAGGGGAGAUCGGAAUUCCUGGUGUAGCGGUGAAAUGCGCAGAUAUCAGGAGGAACACCGGUGGCGAAGGCGGAUCUCUGGGCCGAUACUGACGCUGAGGAGCGAAAGCGUGGGGAGCGAACAGGAUUAGAUACCCUGGUAGUUCACGCCGUAAACGGUGGGCACUAGGUGUGGGCAACAUUGCACGUUGUUCGU
rnacentral:rRNA from 1 species